UGGGGAAUAUUGCACAAUGGGGGAAACCCUGAUGCAGCGACGCCGCGUGAGCGAAGAAGGCCUUCGGGUCGUAAAGCUCUUUUAUGAGGGAAGAUAAUGACGGUACCUCAAGAAAAAGCCCCGGCUAACUACGUGCCAGCAGCCGCGGUAAUACGUAGGGGGCUAGCGUUGUCCGGAAUCACUGGGCGUAAAGGGUUCGCAGGCGGAAUAACAAGUCAGAUGUGAAAGGCAUGGGCUCAACCCAUGUAAGCAUUUGAAACUGUAAUUCUUGAGAAGUGGAGAGGUAAGUGGAAUUCCUAGUGUAGCGAUGAAAUGCGUAGAUAUUAAAAAGAAUACCGGUGGCGAAGGCGACUUACUGGGCUCAUUCUGACGCUGAGGAACGAAAGCGUGGGUAGCAAACAGG
rnacentral:rRNA from 1 species